UACGUAGGGGGCGAGCGUUGUCCGGAAUUAUUGGGCGUAAAGAGCGUGUAGGCGGUUCGGUAAGUCUGCCGUGAAAACCCAGGGCUCAACCCUGGGCGUGCGGUGGAUACUGCCGGGCUAGAGGGUGGUAGAGGCGAGUGGAAUUCCCGGUGUAGCGGUGAAAUGCGCAGAUAUCGGGAGGAACACCAGUAGCGAAGGCGGCUCGCUGGGCCGUUCCUGACGCUGAGACGCGAAAGCUAGGGGAGCGAACAGG
rnacentral:rRNA from 1 species